AGCCUUGCACCAGAACCACUACCAAAAACGUUUAGAAGAACUUUGGAGAGUUCCUUCUUAAUUUUUUGACAGUCCCUCCUAGAUACUUUCACAGUCUAGGAGGGUCUUUAAGGUUGUCACUUGCAACCUUGAUAAGCUCUCUUUUUAGCCAUUGCUAUUUGCUUAGAAACAGAACUGGAACUGUUAUAGCGGUUCAACUCCUCUUGUAGGAUCUUCUUCCCUUUUUUGAAGGUCUUAUCUGAAAUUUG
rfam:Streptococcus pyogenes M1 GAS, complete genome.